rnacentral:misc_RNA from 1 species
AACGCAUAUUGCGCCCUCUGGUAUUCCGGGGGGCAUGCCUGUCCGAGCGUCAUUACUAUAUUCAAGCACGGCUUGUGUGUUGAGCAUUUUGUUCCUAUUUUUUGGUGAACAAAGGCUUGAAAUGCAGUGGCGAUGCCUAAAUUGGUUGCCUGAACGUAUGGGGCUCAAUCACACGUUCUCUGGCUCCAGUUAUGCAUCUUGUUCCCAACUUUUUUUUUCCAGAAAAAUUGACCUCGGAUCAGGUAGGAAUACCCGCUGAACUUAA